rnacentral:lncRNA from 1 species
GGGAGGCAAAGAGAACAAACUGGCUUAAUAAUAAUGGUGCACUGCACAGUAUAAUGAAGGGGAGGUGGUGAUGUUCCAGGCUGCUCUGAAGAGUCCAUUUAGAGUGGGAUGUCUACUUUAACACUAUGACAUAUGAAGAAUUGCAUAAAUUCGCUAGAAUCAGAAGUCAGUUGUCCUGAUCUCAGAACAAUUUGGUGUGUACAAAGUCCAAGGUUUGAAAACUCAUCAAGAAGUCAGCAUCCUGCAAGAAUCAGCCACCCAUGCCACACUUUCUAUAGUAACUUCUGUUCUGCAUCAGACUACAUCACUCUGGCUUUCUGAGGGCACUAUUCCAGGCCAGUGCUCUGGGAGGAAUUACCCAGAAUCCCUGUAGAAGCCACUACUGAUGUCAGCUACAAGAGGAAGGGAACCCAAGUGGACUUCAGCCAGAACAAAGCUCUGUCACAUGUUGGAAUUUUACUGAACUUGAACAAAUUAUUCUUCAGAAAAAGUAUUUUAAAGUCAAAAGACUCCUAGAUGAUUUCUAGGUCUUUUGCAGCAUUAACUUCCUUUGAAUCAAUGCCUUCAAUGAUUAUUUAAAAGAAAAGAAAGAAAAAAUCAGAAAGUAAAGAAAUGGAUUUAGCUAGUAACCUUUAAAGAAAGCCCUCUUUCAUUCAUUUUUCUUCAAAGAUUUAUGUGAUUUUUUUCUUAUCUUGAUGUAUAAUAAUAAGAAUUAGCUGCAAAAAGCUACAAGAAAGGUUGCAUAAGUGCAUACAUUCUUUUCGAGUUCUGCUUCCUGUGGUAGUUCUUCACUUUUAAUGAUGAGUUGCUGAAGCAGGCACUCAUUCUUUUAUUGCAUCAUUUAUUCUUGUUAUCUGGGGAAGUAACAAUGACAAGCUUUCCUAAGUAACAGCCCAACUCUUAUUUGUGGCCCCUUUUCCUAUGUCAAUAUUAGGAUCAUUCUAUCAACGAAGAGGUCCUAUUACCUAGGAAACCAUGAAAGGUAAGACCUAUGAUCACAGGUGCUUACAUGCAUGCAAAUGUAAAA